AUGCCUGUUUUGGGUGACGUAUGCAUGGUCUUUUUUCGCUGGUUUGCUGGUGGCUUUACUUUUCAUCACAAGUGACGAAAUGUAACUACUUUUCAUUACAAGUGACGAAAAGUAAUUACAUUUCAUCACCAACUAUUAUAAUCUGCUGAACCAAGAAAAUGCCAUC